ACGUAGGAGGCGAGCGUUGUCCGGAUUUACUGGGCGUAAAGCGCGCGCAGGCGGCAUGGCAAGUAAGGUGUGAAAUCUCCCUGCCUAACGGGGAGGGUGCACUGUAAACUACGGAGCUAGAGGACGGUAGAGGGGGGUAGAAUUGCUGGUGUAGCGGGGAAAUGCGUAGAGAUCAGCAGGAAUACCCGUGGCGAAGGCGGCCCCCUGGGCAGAACCUGACGCU
rnacentral:rRNA from 1 species